UACGGGGGGGGCAAGCGUUGUUCGGAAUUACUGGGCGUAAAGGGCUCGUAGGUGGCCAACUAAGUCAGACGUGAAAUCCCUCGGCCUAACCGAGGAACUGCGUCCGAUACUGCGGUGCUUGAGGAUCAGAGGGGUGCAUGGAAUUUCCGGUGGAGCGGUGAAAUGCGUUGAUAUCGGAAGGAACUCCGGCGGCGAAAGCGAUGCACUGGCUGAUUUCUGACGCUGAGGUGCGAAAGCCAGGGGAGCAAACGGG
rnacentral:rRNA from 1 species